AUUCAGCUGACGAAUCCAAAAUAGGACGAAACACACGUCCUUGAU
rfam:Schistosoma mansoni strain Puerto Rico chromosome 2, complete genome